rnacentral:rRNA from 1 species
GUGGGGAAUAUUGGGCAAUGGGGGAAACCCUGACCCAGCAACGCCGCGUGAGGGAAGAAGGUUUUCGGAUCGUAAACCUCUGUCCUUGGUGAAGAGAAGAAGACGGUAGCCAAGGAGGAAGCCCCGGCUAACUACGUGCCAGCAGCCGCGGUAAUACGUAGGGGGCAAGCGUUGUCCGGAAUGAUUGGGCGUAAAGGGCGCGUAGGCGGCUCGGUAAGUCUGGAGUGAAAGUCCUGUUUUUAAGGCGGGAAUUGCUUUGGAUACUGUCGGGCUUGAGUGCAGGAGAGGUAAGUGGAAUUCCCAGUGUAGCGGUGAAAUGCGUAGAGAUUGGGAGGAACACCAGUGGCGAAGGCGACUUACUGGACUGUAACUGACGCUGAGGCGCGAAAGUGUGGGGAGCAAACAGGA